UCGUAUGCGAAAGUUAUAAGCGAAAUAUGAAAGUUACUGUUUUUGGUAGAUUGGUAUAAAUUUGAAAUGUUACUGUAGCCAGGUAACUUUUCUUUCUUUUCUCUCUCCUUCCCCCGUGCUCUCUCAGUUUCUCUCUUCUGCAACUCUCUCUUUCUCUCUUCUGCAACCUCCUCUUUCACCCCCUCUAGACCACCAAAUGGCGAGCUGCGAGCAUCGAUAGACUCGUCUCUUCCUCCUUAUCACGCAUGUGGGAGUUGUUUACGACGAUUUGGCCGGAAAUGUGGAGAUCGAAGCCAACAUUUUUACUGUAGCAAAUUAGUCAACGCCGAUUUCCGGCCACCUCCAGUCAUAAACCCAGGUCCAUUAGAAGCGCCUUAAGCCGCUCUUCAUGCUCGCCAAGUCUCAUAACCCAGAUCGAAGCAUGGAGGAAGAAAGCAUAAUUGGAAAAUUUCACUGUACAUCGGAGUGCUUAAUUGUUCGGCUACUUCAAGGGCAAUGUUGCGAGCUACGGCUAGAUGAAGGAACUCGUUUUCGUGGUCGCCAACCAGUAUUAUUUAUAUUUGGCUUUUAGAAGACGCAGCGGGAAUUAGAGCGGGUAAUCCUACAGGACAGGAGAAUCAGGAAGGUGAUCGAGCUGUGUAGAGUAGCUGCUUGUGAUACUCUGAUUUUAUGUUGUGAGGUUCGUUAUGCUCGUUUAGAGUUUUACAAUUUUACUUUGUAAGAGGGAAUUGUAAUAAUUAACUCGAAGUUUACCGAUUUGGAAAUUUUGUGUAAGUGGUGGAGUUGUUUCUGAGAAAAGAAUUCAGAACGUUUAUUUGUUUAA